UCAAGCUACUAAGGGCGUACGGUGGAUGCCUUGGCGCCAGGAGUCGAUGAAGGACGUGGUAAGCUGCGAAAAGCUUCGGUGAGCCGCAAACAGGCGUUGAACCGGAGAUCUCCGAAUGGGGCAACCCACCCCGGGUAAUACUGGGGUAUCCCCGGCUGAAUUCAUAGGCCGGUGGAAGGCAACGCAGGGAAGUGAACCAUCUCAGUACCUGCAGGAACAGAAAACAACAGUGAUUCCGCUAGUAGCGGCGAGCGAACGCGGAUUAGCCCAAACCAUCGUGCUUGCACGGUGGGGUUGUAGGGCCUACUAGGCCGCAAGGCCGGCGAGUAAAAAAUCAGCAGGCUAGUUGAACGAUCUGGAACGAUCGGCCAUAGACGGUGAUAGCCCGGUAGACGAAAGCUCGCUGACUCGCUGGGUAGGUUCCUGAGUAUCGCGGGACACGUGGAAUCCCGCGAGAAUCUACGAGGACCAUCUCGUAAGGCUAAAUACUCCCUGGCGACCGAUAGUGAACCAGUACCGUGAGGGAAAGGUGAAAAGUACCCCUGUUAGGGGAGUGAAAAAGACUUGAAACCAGUUGCCUACAAGCGGUCGGAGCCCCCUUGUGGGGUGACGGCGUACCUUUUGCAUAAUGGGCCUGGGAGUCCUCGUCCGCAGCAAGCUUAAGCCCUUUCAGGGCGGAGGCGCAGCGAAAGCGAGUCCGAAUAGGGCGAUUCAGUUGCGGGCGCGGGACCCGAAGCGGAGGUGAUCUAUCCAUGGCCAGGUUGAAGCUCCGGUAAAACGGAGUGGAGGACCGAACCCACUUGGCUUGCGAUCCGAGGGGAUGAGCUGUGGAUAGGAGUGAAAGGCUAAUCAAACCCCGUAAUAGCUGGUUCUCUCCGAAAUAUAUUUAGGUAUAGCGUCAUAUGCUGACUACCGGGGGUAGAGCACUGAAAAGGCUAGGGCUCCUACCAGAGUACCAAACCUUACCAAACUCCGAAUACCGGUAGGUGUAGUAUGGCAGUCAGACUGUGGGGGAUAAGCUCCAUGGUCGAAAGGGAAACAGCCCAGACCACCAAUUAAGGCCCCUAAACACUGCUAAGUGGAAAAGGAGGUAGAUUUACAAAGACAGUGGGGAUGUUGGCUUAGAGGCAGCCAUCAUUUAAACAUAGCGUAACAGCUGACCCAUCGAGUGAAUCUGCGCCGAAAAUGAUCGGGACUAAGUAUAUCGCCGAAAACAUGGGUUCUUCCAUUUAUUUGGAGGAGCGGUAGGAAAGCGUUCCCGCGAGAGCGAAGCCGAAGCGUGAGCGACGGUGGACUUUCGGGAAGUGAGAAUCCAGGCUUGAGUAACGUUAAAUCCGGUUGAAAUCCGGGUCGCCGAAAGGACAAGGUUUCCCGGGCAAGGUUCGUCCGCCCGGGGUUAGUCGGGAGCUAAGGCGAGGCCGUAAGGAGUAGCCGAUGCACACUACGGUUAAUAUUCCGUGACCCGCUUGCAACUAUAUGUCGGGGACGGAUCAACGAAAGCGACAAUCCCGCUCUGAUAGGGUAGGUCAAGGCUACGGCCGCGACCAUGUCGUGGAAGGAGGUUCCAAGAAAAGCCGACCAUUUACUAUGCAAGUCUGCCCGUACCGCAAACCGACACAGGUAUCCGAGAUGAGUAUUCUAAGGCGCGUGAGUUAACCCUCCCUAAGGAACUCGGCAAAUUAGCCCCGUAUCUUCGGUAGAAGGGGCGCCCCUUUGGGGGCCGCAGUAACCAGGGCCAACCGACUGUUUAGCAAAAACACAGCUCUCUGCCAACACGCAAGUGGAUGUAUAGGGAGUGACAUGUGACCAAUGCGGAAAGGUGAACGUCCGUUGUUAACGCUCCGGGCCUAAGCCCCCGUGAAUGUCGGCCGUAACUAUAACGGUCCUAAGGUAGCGAAAUUCCUUGUCGGGUAAGUUCCGACCUGCACGA
rnacentral:rRNA from 1 species